UAUUGGACAAUGGGUGCAAGCCUGAUCCAGCCAUGCCGCGUGCAGGAAGAAGGCCUUCUGGGUUGUAAACUGCUUUUACCAGGGGAUAAAAAGCCCAUGCGUGGGAAAUUGAAGGUACCUGGUGAAUAAGCCACGGCUAACUACGUGCCAGCAGCCGCGGUAACACGUAGGGGGCGAGCGUUGUCCGGAUUUAUUGGGCGUAAAGAGCUCGUAGGCGGUUCCGUCAGUCGGGUGUGAAAACUCUGGGCUCAACCCAGAGACGCCACCCGAUACUGCGGUGACUAGAGUCCGGUAGGGGAGUGCGGAAUUCCUGGUGUAGCGGUGAAAUGCGCAGAUAUCAGGAGGAACACCAACGGCGAAGGCAGCACUCUGGGCCGGUACUGACGCUGAGGAGCGAAAGCGUGGGGAGCGAAC
rnacentral:rRNA from 1 species